GACUGCUGGGUCACUUUCUGAGCUGAAAUAGCCAGGAUGGGGGCAAACUUUCUCAAGGAAGGUUCCUCCAGGGAUGGCAGACUGAGCUCCAGUGGAUCAGGCAGGGCUCACAAGCUGGGCUUUAAUCCCCUGGUGAAGCUGGUGGCGGAUGUGAUCUUGGCAUGGCGAGCCAGAGUUGGAGUGACAGCAGGCCCUAUGCCUGCCAAGUUUCCUUUUUACAUCCCAUCAUAACGUGGAAACCAACCCCUCCCGACUGCAGCUUGGCCAACCAAUCAGAGGCUCCAAUUACUUGUGAAGGAUUUCUUUUCACCACUUCUGCAAAGAAGUCUGACAUCACUAAGAAUCGCAGAUGACCUUGGCGUGCAAACGUGGCUCUCACCAUGCUUAAAACUGCAGGCCUGCUCUUCGUUGAAUAAAAGAUGGUGACUGCUAGCAGCAUGUAACUCUUCAUGGAGGACGCGGAGACGACUGCAAUUUUAUCAUUUGACGUGAUCCCCUACGGGCUGCUGGGCUACAGACAUUGAGGCUCUGGGGCCUCCUGAGCUGAGAGCUGUGCGUGCCGAUCUGACCUUACUAUCUGGAGGAUAGUCAGCUGCCCCCCCCCCC